CUCUUAUCCUGAGCCGGUGGAGGGACAGGCCCUGUGAAACCCAGCAACCUGCCGCGAGCAGCGGAAAAGGUGCUAAACCUGAGCAAGGAUCAGCCUUGGACGAUAAGAG
rfam:Domibacillus antri strain XD80 WGS_contig_36, whole genome shotgun sequence.